rnacentral:rRNA from 1 species
GUGGGGAAUAUUCCGCAAUGGACGAAAGUCUGACGGAGCAACGCCGCGUGAGUGAAGAAGGUUUUCGGAUCGUAAAGCUCUUUCGUUAGGGACGAACGUGCUCUUUGUGAAUAAUGAGGAGUAAUGACGGUACCUAAAUAAGAAGCCACGGCUAACUACGUGCCAGCAGCCGCGGUAAUACGUAGGUGGCAAGCGUUGUCCGGAAUUAUUGGGCGUAAAGCGCGCGCAGGCGGGAUAUCAAGUCUGUCUUAAAAGUGCGAGGCUCAACCUCGUGAGGGGACAGAAACUGGUAUUCUUGAGUGUCGGAGAGGAAAGUGGAAUUCCAAGUGUAGCGGUGAAAUGCGUAGAGAUUUGGAAGAACACCAGUGGCGAAGGCGACUUUCUGGACGAUGUCUGACGCUGAGGCGCGAAAGCUAGGGGAGCGAACGGGAUUAGAAACCCCGGUAGUCC